rnacentral:lncRNA from 1 species
UGGAGGAAGAAAGCACUGAAGGAGAGGAUGAUCCUUUGGUUCAUCUGGUUAAACCUAGCGUAGCUGAGAAACUGAGAACUAAGAAAGGAAAAAGUAUGGCUAAAAUGAGAGCUGCUAGAGUGAAAAAGACUGCAGGAGUAGGACCCUCAAAAUCCUGGAGCAAGGUUGAGGUUGGAAAAAGAAAAGAAAGAGACAGCUCUGAUUCUGAGGAGAAUGUUAAAGACGAUGUCCCAGACAUCUCCCCUGCAAAAAG